rnacentral:lncRNA from 1 species
AUGCCACCCCCCAGAGGCCGUGUCCUCACUGAAGGCCUCUGCCAACCUCUUCAUUUAUCUUCCAGCUGUUUUUUUGGCUUUGCAGCCUUGGGGAUGUUUCCAAGAUUCCCUGCCCGGCCCCCGGCACGCGCUGCCCUUGAGAGGCGCCUGAAGUGCUUGGCUUGGCCACGGCACAAGAGCCUGGUGCCAAAAAAGUCAUCAGGCAAGCGUGCCACCCUCCCCCCCCUCCCCCCAGGAUGUAGCGGGAUGUUAGGAUACAGGAGCAGAGGCAGUUUUGUGGGUCCCCACAGGGCUGCGUGGGUCUCCUCGGGGACACGGAGCAUGUGUAGCCCUGGGUGCCACCAGCAGCACUGCAUUUGGGAUGCCCCAGGGUGCUGCACCCCCAGGAGUGCACUAGAGGAUGCUGCUGGUGACAUCUCCAGCCCUUCUCCUUGUCCCCAUCCGCGUGGCGACCCACCAGCGUGCCGCUGGCCCCGGGCCACCCGCGGUCCCAGCUGUGUCCUGCUGCCACGAGGGGGCACGGCGGCCACGCGCACGGCACCGCGCCGAGGCCGUGUCCCCACAGCGCCUGCCCCGGCACCCCGUGUCCCGUGGGUCCCCGGGGAGUCGCCUGGGGGCCUUCGGCUCGCUGUCCUCAUCUCUGCUGCCCAGGGAAUGGACAAAUCCCCCACACACACAUACACAGCUGUUGUCCCCUGCGAGAUGUCCUGCGGCCGGGUGAUCGCUGUCACAGGAGGUGACAGCCACCUCCUUGGUCCUGGACAUUUGUUUGCCUGGCUGGGACCUGCUCCUCUCUUCCCGCACUCUGCCAUCUCUCCGGGUCUCGCACCCGAACCCCACCAAGACCUGGCCCCGUGCCAGAAAGCAGAGGCAAGCAGAGGACAGCGGGAUCGAGCCCAGCAGAAUUUGGUGCUGCAUCUGCUAUUUCCUGCAGCAGUUUGUCUCCUCACCGUUAGGGUGCGAAGAACUACAGCAGGAGCCUGUCCCCUUGUGCUCCAAGACGUCCUCUGCCUCCUCCACCCCUCCCUAAAUUCGUGCUCGGGCACCGCAGACAUCAUAACCUCACAUUUGUUCCUGGGCUAG